rnacentral:rRNA from 1 species
UAUUUAUUAGAUAACAGACCAAUAUUCCUCGUGUCUAUUGUGGUGACUCAUAGUAACUGACCGGAUCGCAUGGCCUUGUGCCGCGACUAACCAUUCAAGUUUCUGACCCAUCAGCUUUCGAUGGUAGUGUAUUGGACUACCAUGGCUUUCACGGGUAACGGAGGAUUAGGGUUCGAUUCCGGAGAGGGAGCCUGAGAAACGGCUACCACAUCUAAGGAAGGCAGCAGGCGCGUAAAUUACCCAAUCCUGACUCAGGGAGGUAGUGACAAGAAAUAACGGGUCGGGGCAUUCGCCUCGGGAUUGCAAUGAAUCGAAUUUACACCCCUUAAUGAGGAUCAAUUGGAGGGCAAGUCUGGUGCCAGCAGCCGCGGUAAUUCCAGCUCCAAUAGCGUAUAUUAAAGUUGUUGCAGUUAAAAAGCUCGUAGUUUGAUUUCUGGACAGGGGCCAACACCCGCUUGUGUAGUGUGUGAGGCGCGCGCCCCCCCAUCCUUCUGUGUUAACCACCCGGUUUUUUGCUGGGCGGCGGGUCUCAUAUUUUUACCUUGAGAAAAUUAGAGUGUUUCAGGCAGGCUUGCG